rnacentral:rRNA from 1 species
CGGGUGAGUAACACGUGGUUAACCUACCGAGAUGUGGGGGAUACCCCGGAGAAAUUCGGGACAAUACCGCAUGAUGUCUUCUGGAUGUCGAUCCGGAAGAGCAAAGCUGGGGAUCGUAAGACCUGGCGCAUUUCGAGGGGACCGCGGCCGAUUAGCUAGUUGGCGGGGUAAUGGCCCACCAAGGCUUCGAUCGGUAGCCGGCCUGAGAGGGUGAACGGCCACACCGGAACUGAGACACGGUCCGG